rnacentral:lncRNA from 1 species
CCGGGUUCUCGCCAUUCUCCUGCCUCAGCCUUCCGAGUAGCUGGGACUAUAGGUGCCCGCCACCACGCCAGGCUAAUUUUUUGUAUUUUUAGUAGAGAUGGGGUUUCACCGUGUUAGCCAGGAUGGUCUCGAUCUUCUGACCUCGUGAUCCGCCCGCCUCGGCCUCCCAAAGUGCUAGGAUUACAGGCGUGAGCCACCGCGCCCGGCAGCAAAUUUUAAGCCAAGAAAUUGAAUGUUGCCAGAACCCCAGGAACCACCCAGCCUCUUCCCAUAUGACCACUUCCCCACACUCUCCACCUUCCUUACUUCUAUGUACUACUUCUCCUUCCUGAUGCCACGUGAAGAAGGACAUGUUUGGUUACCCUUCUGCCAUGAUUCUGAGUUCCCUGAGGCCUCCUCAGCCCUGCAGAACUGACAGCAGUUGGUUGACAUUUAAAGGGCUACUGUCCCAGAAGGCUGCUUGCCUGGGCCCAUGGCACUGCCAGAAAUCACAAGACUAAGCUGAAAAAGCACAAAGAAGUUUCCUUUCAUUCCAGGAACCUCUUGGCUUGAAUAUGAAAUAGCCUCUUAGUGACACUACACUGCAAUUUCAAAUAAUAGGUUUUUUAUCACCUCUUUGAGAAAUAUCACCUUGGGUUCAUCCCAGAAAAAUAAUACAAAGUAGAAUUUUUUCAAACGUAAUCCCCUUGGGUUCCUCUCAGAAAAAAAUAGAAAGUAGAAUUCUUUCAAACUUAAUCCCCUCUUUGUAUUUGUCUCCUCUGCAUCUCUCCAAAGUAGAUGGGUAGGAGAGGGAAACAGUGCUGUAGAAAAUGGGACAAGAACACACCCUAAUAAAACAAGAAAACAUGGUUUGCCAGAGGUCUCCUUUCCCAGGCUCAAGCCUCAAGUUUCUAAUUGUCCCUACAUUACUCCCACAAAUGCCUUUCUGGGAGAGUCUUGUAUGCUAGACCUCUGCCAUCUUCCCAUCCUUUCUCCCUUCCUCCUAACCUUCACUCUUGAGAAAGACUCAUCCUGGCUUCUGUGUCCAUAGAACCUUGAAGCAGCUUUCUGGUGAGGAGGUGAGCUACUUCCUGCAAAACUACUAGUAGCUGCUAUUGAUUAAUGUAUUCUUCCAACCAGGUAAUGUAUUCCUGUUCCAACAGAAGUCUUCUUGAGACAUAUCUGAAAGUGACAUAGUAACCAGAAGGAAGAUUUUUGGAGGGUUCUUGAACUAGCUCUACAUAGGAAACUGCCAACAAUAACUUCCUGUGGCAUUUGUUAAGUUGUGAUUCUGCCCCUCACUGCUUGACUUAGUCCUCUUGACAAGGGCCAGGAGGAGAAAACAGGUCUCAAAGAACAGUGUACAUCAAAGCCUGGCUUUCCAGCAAUGCCUGACCCUGCCAAAGAAGGCAGGGAAGCCCCCACAGAGCCUCUUAGAAACCUCAACUCCCUCAGCCUCUUGUCCCAGAGCAUCACUGGCAGGUAUAGACCAAGCAUAUCCACAUCCACACGUACGUCUUUUUUGCUUUUAUUCAUUUUAGUUUAUAACAACUAUUUAUUUAGGACGUGGUUCUGUGAGCUGUUAAAUUGUUCUAUUGUCAGAUCAUAGCUGUAUACAUUUGUGGGGUGUCAAAACGAUGUUUUAACAUAUACAUACAAUCAGUGUGAUUAAAUCAAGCUAAUUAACACAUCCAUCACCUUGCUUACCUAUCUUUUUUAUGGUGAGACAUUUGAAAUUUACUCUCUUAGUUGUUUUGAAAUAUACAAUGCAGUAUUAUUGACUAUAGUCACCCUGGUAUACAAUAUAUCUCAAAAUCUAUCCCUACUGUCUCUCUGAAACUUUGUACCCUUUGAUUAACAACUCCCAUUCCCCUUUCAAUCUGAAACAUUGUACCCUUUCAUCAGCAACUCCUCAUUCCCUCCCUCCCAGCCCACUCUUAGCCUCUUUCUACUCUCUAUUUCUAUGAGUUCAACUUUGUUAGAUUUUUACAUGUAAGUGAGAUCAUGCAGCAUUUGUCUUUCUGUGCCUGGUUUAUUUUACUUAGCAUAAUGUCCUUCAGAUUCAUCCGUGUUGAUGCAAGUGACAGGAUUUCUCCCUUUUUAAGGCUGAAUAAUUUUCUAUUGUGUAUGUUUCACAUUUCCUUUAUACACUCAUCCAUUGAUGGAUACCUAAGUUGUUUCAUGUUUUAGCUAUUGUGAAUAAUGCUGCAAUAAACAUGCAGAGUACAGAUAUUCUGUUGACAUAUUGAUUUCAGUUUCUUUAUAUAUUCAGAAGUGCGAUUACUAGGUCAUACGGUAGUUCUAUUUUUAAUUUUUUGAGGAACCUCCAUGUUAGUUUCCAUAAUUGAUGUAUAAAUCACAUUCUCACCAACAGGGUAUGAGUUUUCUUUUUCUGCAUCCACUCCAAGAUUUGUUAUCUUUCUUCUUCUUGAUAAAAGCCACAUUAACAGAUGUGAGGUGAUAUCUCAUUGUGGUUUUAACUUGAAUUUCCCUAAUGAUUAGUGAUGCUGGGCAUUCUUUAAUGUACCUGUUGGCCAUUUGCGUGUCUUCCUUUGAGAAACGUCUGCUCAAGUCCUUUGCCCAUUAUGUUAGAUCAUUCUUUUGUUGUGAGAAAUUAAUAUCUGAGAUUGGGUAAGUUAUAAAGAAAAUAGGUUUAAUUGGCUCACAGUUUGAAGGCUAUACAGAAAGCAUAGCCCCGGCAUCUCCUCAGCUUCUGGAGUGGCCUCAGGGAGCUUUUACUCAUGGCAGAAGGCUACUUGGGAGCAGGCACAAAGCAUGGUGAAAGCAGGAGCAAGAGAGAGAGGGGAGGUGCCACACUUUACAUCAACCGGAUCUUGUGAGAACUCACGGUUGUGAUGACAGCACUAAGCACGAGUGAUUUGCCCCCAUGACCCAAACAUCUCCCACCAGGCCUCACAUCCACAAUUGGGGAUUAGAUUUCAACAUGAGAUUUGGGUGGGGACAAAUAUCCAAACUAUAACACCCAUUUUUAAAUCAGGUUUUUGUUUCUUUGCUAUUGAGUUGUUAGAGUUGCUUCUAUGUUUUGGAUAUUAACUCCUUGUCAGAUGUAUGGUUUGCAAAUAAUUUCUCCCUUUCUAUGAGUUGUCUCUUCACUUUGUUAGUAGUGUCCUUUGUUGUGCAGAGGCUUUUUAGUUUAAUAUAACCCCAUUUGUCUAUUUUUGCUUUUGUUUCCUGUGCUUUCAGGGUUACGUCCAAAAAUAUCAUUGCUUAGACCACUGUUAGGGAGAUUUUCCACUGUUUUCUUCUAGCAUUUUUACAGUUUUGGGUCUUAUUUUUAAGUCUUUAAUCCAUUUUGAGUUGAUUUUUUAAUUGUGUAAGAUAAGGAUUCAAUUAAGCCCUGAAUUCUCUAAUUCUGAAAGGGUGGUGUGAAGUAACUUUAUUCCUACUAGGAAGGUUGUAAGACAAACUUAUUUAAAAUAACUGUGGAUCCAAUAAAUUCUUACAAAUAUAAAUACAAGAACAAAUGUAAAUUUCGACAUUAAAAACAAAAGGUGGGAGAAAGGCAGUGAAAGUGUAGAGUUUUGUAUGCAAUUAAAAGCAAUUAUUGUCAGCUUAAAGUAAUCCGUUUUAAGGAUAACAUGUUUUAUGUAAGCCUGAUGGUAACCACAAAACAAAAACCUAUAGUAGUUGCACAAAAUAUAAAAUAAAAGCUUUCAAACUGUACCCCCACAGAAAAUCAUCAAACUACAAAGGAAAACAGUAAAAGAUGAAGAAAGAAACAAGGGACCUACCAAACUGUCAAUAAUUACAUUGAAUGUAGAUGAAUUAAGUCGUCCAAUAAAAAGAGUGGCUCAAUAGAUGAAAAAAAACAAGAAAAAACUUGCUUUACUGGUAAGGACCCACAUAGGCUGAAAGUAAAGGAAUGCAAAAAGAUAUUCCAUGCAAAUGGAAACUAAAAGGAGCAAGUGUAACUAUGCUUAUCUCAGACAAAAUACACUUUAAGUCAAAAACUAUAAAAAGAGACAAACAUGAUUACAUAAUAAUAAAGAAUAUACAAAUAUAUAUUUGUAACAUUGCAAAUAUAUAUGCCCCCAAUAUUGGAGCACCUAAAUUUGUAAAGCAAUUAUUAAAUAAUCUGAAGGGAGAGAUAGAAUGAGUUACUAUUAUAGUAUGGUGCCUCAAUACCCCACUUUGGACAAUGGGCAUAUUAUCUAGACAGAAAAUUAAUAAACAUUGGUCUUGAAUUAUACUUUAGACCAAAUGGACCUGACAGACAUAUACAGCACAUUCCAUCCAACAACAAAAUACACACUCUUCUGAAGUACACAGGGAACAUCUUCCAAGGUAGAUCAUAUUUUAGGCCACAAAACAAAUCUCAACACAUGUAAGAGGAAUGAGGUCAUAUCACGUAUCAUUUCAGAUCUCAAUGGCAUAAAACUAUAAAUCAAUAACAGGAGAAAUCUUGGAAAAUACAGAAAUAUGUGGCACAUAUUUCUGUUACAGUUUCAGUACACAGAUCUUUUACCUCCUUGAUUAAA